CUGCGAGUUCGCGGGAGAGUAAGUUAUUGCCAGGGUUUUUAUUUUAUACUUUAAACAUUGAUUUUAUUUUUUAUGUUUUUAGAUGUUCAUGUUUUUGAAUGUUUUAUUCGAAUAAUAUAAAAAAUAAAAUAUAUAUUGACAUGGAUUAAACAAAGAUAUAUAUUAUUCUAUGUUGUAUAAACAAAUUGGCAAAAUAGAGAUGGAAGAUAAAAAUAUGGUCAAAGUAAUAAGAGUCUAUGGUGAAGGCGUAAGA
rnacentral:misc_RNA from 1 species